rfam:Flavobacterium terrae strain DSM 18829 genome assembly, contig: Ga0131135_108
UUUUUAUGGAAUCCAGAAACCAUAUAAAAAAACGGGGCAAAACCGAAAAGCCAUACGAGUAGGAAACUA